UACAGAGGUCCCAAGCGUUGUUCGGAUUCAUUGGGCGUAAAGGGUGCGUAGGUGGCGCCGUAAGUCAGGUGUGAAAAUCUCGGGGCUUAACUCCGAAACUGCAUUUGAUACUGCGGUCUUGAGGACUGGAAAGGAGACUGGAAUUUACGGUGUAGCAGUGAAAUGCGUAGAGAUCGUAAGGAAGACCAGUGGCGAAGGCGGGUCUCUGGACAGUUCCUGACACUGAGGCACGAAGGCCAGGGGAGGCAAACGGGG
rnacentral:rRNA from 1 species